rnacentral:lncRNA from 1 species
ACAAUGCAGAUUUUUGCAUAUUAUGUACAUACACACGCAGGGUAGAGGCAUACAUCGACCCAUGCAUGCAUGAGAGGGUGUGUAUAUAUAGAAAGGGAGAGGUAGAUUGACAGUCUCCUGGAAAAGAUCUUUGACUUUAUUUGUGGAAAUAAGAAAGUGGAACUUCUACUAAGGAAAAGUCUUAAGGUUAUAGAAUGUCAUUGCCUUCUAAAUUGAAUAAGUUAUUCUAGCAGCUGCAGUGAUCAUCACUGACAGUCACCUGUUUAAGGUUAACAAUGGUACUUGUUAUUUGUAGGUACAGACAUUACAUAAUGUCACUGGCAGUGGAGGUGGACAAGUUUGGAAUCGGAACUUUUUUUUUUUUUCUUUUUUAAAAAGGGCCAGGAGUUCCCAUCGUAGCUCAAUGGUUAGCGAAUCCAACUAGGAACCAUGAAGUUGUGGGUUUGAUUCCUGGCCUUGCUCCGUGGGUUAAGGAUCUGGUGUUGCCGUGAGCUGUGGUAUAGGUUGCAGACGUGGCUGGAAUCCUGCAUUGCUGGGUCUCUGGCAUAGGCCAGCGGCUACAGCUUUGAUUAGACCCCUAGCCUAGGAACCUUCAUAUGCUGUGGGUGUGGCCCUAGAAAAGGCAAACAGACAAAAAAAAAAGGGGGGCCACACCCACAGCAUAUGGCGAUUUUCAGGCUAGGGGUCAAAAUGGAGCUGCAGCUUCCAGCCUUCACCAGAGCCACAGCAAUGCCAGAUCCAAGCCGCAUCUACGAGCUACACCACAGCUCAUGACAAUACAGGAUCCUUAACCCAUCAAGCAAGUUCAGGGAUCAAACCUGCAUUCUCAUGGAUACUAGUCGGGUUCUUUACCCCGAGCCAUGAUGGGAACUCUUGGAAUCAGUACUUCUUUACAUAUGGACACAACUGAAUUGCAGAUGUCAACCCACCAUUUUAUAGAAUGACAAAGGAAUUGAUUUUGAAUUCUAAUUAGGUAUCCACAUAUCUGUUGAAUGGCUAAUACUGUCGACUUAAAAAAUAUGCACUACCUAAAAGUUGAGAGCUAAGUUUUAUUUGGGGCAAAAUGAGGACCAUAGCCUGGAGGCAGCAUCUUGGAGAGCUCUGAGAAACCGCUCCAAAGGAGUAGGAAAAAAUCCACAUAUAUGUGAUUUUGGCUAAGGGGGAUUGUAUAAUAUGACCAAACUCACAUUUUACAGAAGGUCACUGCUGGUCAUGAGAAGCAGAUGUCAUCAUGAAGGAUUUUAGUGCUUUUAUAGAUGUGAGGAGAUGGAAGUUUUUGGUUCAUAACAUCUCCUGAAAAUAUCCAACUCUCUGAAGACCUGUUCUGCCAGUUUUCCCAGAGCACGGGGCUCCUCACUCCUGAUCUCCACCCUGAGCUCUUUUGCAGGUGUAGAGGGUCAACAGCUGCAGUGGCACAGGAUUCAGUCUCUGUAGAAGCAGAUGGCCAGUGUCAACCUCCAGUUCACGGUACAGAAUGACAAGCAUAUUAAAUCCUGAUGAGGAGCAGUCUCAAACUUCUUCCCUCUCCAACACACCUGAAAAACAGAAUAUCUUUUCCUUCCACAAAAUGAUUCAACUUAGUCAGAAAAUACAUUAAACAAAUACUUAUUAAAUGCUUAAAAUUCACCAGCUACUUUGCUAUAUAAAAGAAAGCUUCUGAAGAGUUCUCUGAUGGCACAGUGUGUUGAGGAUCUGGCUUUGUCAUCAUUGCAGUGGCCAGGUGGCUGUUAUGGCCCUGGUUAGAACUUCCACAUGCCUAGGGCCAAAACAGAAAGGCCUCUGUGGUAGUGUGGGGAAAGAGUAUGAAGGCGGAGGCCUCCUGGGUAGCUGUGACUUUGGCUGGGGUGUCUCUGUCCUCUUCUUGUACCUUCUGUCAACCUCGAUGAAGAAUUACUGAGCUAAGUUUUAAGCUCUUUAGUAAAUAAAACAAGCCCAUCUUUCUCUCCCUCCCUCUGUCCUGUUUCUACUUCUGCUGUUUUUCCUUCUCCCCACCCCUUCCCCUGUUCCCCUCUCCUCUCCUUCCUUCUUCUUCCCCCUUCUCCCCUCCCUCCCUUCUUCUCCCCUCCCUUCCUUCUUCUCCCCCUUCUCUUCUCAUUCUCCCUUCUCUUCCCUCUUUUCCCCCUCAUCUCCACUUUUCCAUUUUUCCCUCCCACCUCUUUCUUUCUCUCUGUCUCAGUCUCUCCCUCUAGUGACUGGCCCUUACCUUGGAUAUUUUAAUCCUAUCCCUGGAAAAUGUGGAAACAGAGGUCACACCUCGGGCAGGUUGAUUUUGCACCCAUUUAGGUAGCUUAUGGAAAUGAUCUGUUAUAUGACAGAGACGACACUUUCAGAGACUUUUGUUAUCUCUGAGUUCCACAUGGGUAGAGUGGACUGAGCAAUGGAUUGGAGAGCAGGGCUGGGCGUCUGCCUCCCUUCCUUCCACUGACCCUCAAACUCUCAGGUCCCACAAGUCAUACAUUCCCUUCAGCUUCCUUUUUAAGCCAUGUGCCCUAGGAUUGUAUUGUCCUGCCUCUCUUACUAGAUUGCUACAAAAAUAAAAUAUAACGUAUUGUGAGUGCUUCAUUAGCUAAAAUGUUACAUAACCACAAGGACUUCAGGAUUACUGCUCAAUCAUAGGCUGUGGGCAAGCUAUGCACUUGGCCCAUUAAGCCCUUGCUGGCUAACAUGUCUAUUGGUGGAUCCCUGGGCUCCUGUAUUUCAGAGCAUCUUACCUGUGUAGUUUUGGGCCACAUAGGUACCUGGGAUUGCUCAGCCAGAGUCCGUGUUGUUUACAGUGUUUUUGUUUGUUUGUUUUUCCUGAGUUGAUCUGAGAAAAAAUUCUGUUAAUUGAAAAUUUAGGAUUCAUUUGGCGUGUGUUAUUCUUCCAUUCCAUACCCAGGCUUUCACAGUCCAGAUGUUUUUCAUCUUGAGGAGACAGAUCUGUUCCUCCCUAACGUUUGAUGAGGACAGGAAAAUGUCAGUGACAACAGUGCCCCCCCCAGGUAUGAGGUACUAACUAAGUCCUGACAUACUUGAUAUAUUUAUUUCAGAAUUUGAAAAAGGCUGUAUGAGGAUGAGAGCUC